CCUACGGGGAGCAGCAGUGAGGAAUAUUGGUCAAUGGACGAGAGUCUGAACCAGUCAAGUAGCGUGAAGGAUGACUGCCCUAUGGGUUGUAAACUUCUUUUAUAUGGGAAUAAAAUGUUCCACGUGUGGGAUUUUGUAUGUACCAUAUGAAUAAGGAUCGGCUAACUCCGUGCCAGCAGCCGCGGUAAUACGGAGGAUCCGAGCGUUAUCCGGAUUUAUUGGGUUUAAAGGGAGCGUAGGUGGAUUGUUAAGUCAGUUGUGAAAGUUUGCGGCUCAACCGUAAAAUUGCAGUUGAAACUGGCAGUCUUGAGUACAGUAGAGGUGGGCGGAAUUCGUGGUGUAGCGGUGAAAGGCUUAGAUAUCACGAAGAACUCCGAUUGCGAAGGCAGCUCACUGGACUGCAACUGACACUGAGGCUCGAAAGUGUGGGUAUCAAACAGGAUUAGAUACCCGAGUAGUC
rnacentral:rRNA from 1 species